rnacentral:sRNA from 1 species
UGAGACAGGGUCUUGCUGUGUUGCCCAGGCUGGUCUUGAACUCAUGGCCUCAAGUGAUCUUCCUGCCUCAUGCUCCCAAAGUGUUGGGAUUAUAGGCAUGAGCCACUGUGCCCAGCUCUAGUGUACCAUUUUAAUUCUUUUUUUUUUAAAUGUACUAACACCAACCGGAAUCUCUUGUUUCUUUUGCUUUAUUCUUUUGAGUUAUUUUCUGAAUUGUUACCUUUCUCCCACCUAGUUCAACCCCUCAGAAUCACCAAGCUAAAGGAUAUUAAUGCUGGAUCUUUUUGUAAAGACAGGAACCUUUCCAUAGUGUGAAUAACCGCCCCCUGCUAUAUUUGUCAUAGUCUGAAAUCAGAUUGUCACAUGUUGUGUUUUCUAGGAAUGUGGUUCCUGUUUUAACGUAGUACAUGUCAGGUAAAAGGUAAGCCAGAGAUAGCCAUUCAGGAGAGAAUUGCCAGAAACGAAACGCUUCCUGGUGAAGGGCAGUGGGUUUGGGUAUGUACAGUGCCAUGAUGUUUCUUUUUCAGCUCAUUCUUGGAAUCCCAGAACAGGCCUUAAGUCUUCUCCACAUGGCCAUCGAGCCCAUCUUGGCUGACGGGGCUAUCCUGGACAAAGGUCGUGCCAUGUUCUUAGUGGCCAAGUGCCAGGUGGCUUCAGCAGCUUCCUAUGAUCAGCCGAAGAAAGCAGAAGCUCUGGAGGCUGCCAUCGAGAACCUCAAUGAAGCCAAGAACUAUUUUGCAAAGGUUGACUGCAAAGAGCGAAUCAGGGACGUCGUUUACUUCCAGGCCAGACUCUACCAUACCCUGGGGAAGACCCAGGAGAGGAACCGGUGUGCGAUGCUCUUCCGGCAGCUGCAUCAGGAACUGCCCUCUCAUGGGGUACCCUUGAUAAACCAUCUCUAGAGAGGACAUCCCUGCUGGGCUGCUGUGCAGAGUAUAAGAUUUUGGACUUGUUCAUGUCCCCUCUCUCCCUUUAAAUGAUGUAUUUGUGACACCCUAUCUUGUCAAUAAACAGCAUUCUGAUUAGUUUGUCUUAUUUUGUUGCUAGUAACUACGUAUUUGUUUUAUUCCCCUUUUCUUCCCUUUUGGUAGCAAAGGACACCAACUUUUUCUUAAUAAAUGGGUAUUUUGCUAACAA